rnacentral:ncRNA from 2 species
AUAGACAGAAAGGGUCAUGGUUCCCAAGUGCUGGCGCUUGCCGGUUUCAAGGGAUGAAACGGGAAUGCGGUGCGGAGAUCUUCUCCAAUGCCGCGGCUGCCCCCGCAACUGUGAGCGGCAAGGGGCCCUGCAAGAGAACCCACUGGCGGAAAUCCGCCGGGAAGGGGCAGGGAACCGGUAGAGCCGCAAGCCAGGAGACCGGCCUGACGCCUUGUUUCAA